AGAGUUUGAUCCUGGCUCAGGACGAACGCUGGCGGCGUGCCUAAUACAUGCAAGUAGAACGCUGAAGAGAGGAGCUUGCUCUUCUUGGAUGAGUUGCGAACGGGUGAGUAACGCGUAGGUAACCUGCCUUGUAGCGGGGGAUAACUAUUGGAAACGAUAGCUAAUACCGCAUAACAAUGGAUGACUCAUGUCAUUUAUUUGAAAGGGGCAAAUGCUCCACUACAAGAUGGACCUGCGUUGUAUUAGCUAGUAGGUGAGGUAACGGCUCACCUAGGCGACGAUACAUAGCCGACCUGAGAGGGUGAUCGGCCACACUGGGACUGAGACACGGCCCAGACUCCUACGGGAGGCAGCAGUAGGGAAUCUUCGGCAAUGGGGGCAACCCUGACCGAGCAACGCCGCGUGAGUGAAGAAGGUUUUCGGAUCGUAAAGCUCUGUUGUAAGUCAAGAACGAGUGUGAGAGUGGAAAGUUCACACUGUGACGGUAGCUUACCAGAAAGGGACGGCUAACUACGUGCCAGCAGCCGCGGUAAUACGUAGGUCCCGAGCGUUGUCCGGAUUUAUUGGGCGUAAAGCGAGCGCAGGCGGUUUGAUAAGUCUGAAGUUAAAGGCUGUGGCUCAACCAUAGUUCGCUUUGGAAACUGUCAAACUUGAGUGCAGAAGGGGAGAGUGGAAUUCCAUGUGUAGCGGUGAAAUGCGUAGAUAUAUGGAGGAACACCGGUGGCGAAAGCGGCUCUCUGGUCUGUAACUGACGCUGAGGCUCGAAAGCGUGGGGAGCGAACAGGAUUAGAUACCCUGGUAGUCCACGCCGUAAACGAUGAGUGCUAGGUGUUGGAUCCUUUCCGGGAUUCAGUGCCGCAGCUAACGCAUUAAGCACUCCGCCUGGGGAGUACGACCGCAAGGUUGAAACUCAAAGGAAUUGACGGGGGCCCG
rnacentral:rRNA from 2 species